rnacentral:rRNA from 1 species
UACGUAGGGUGCGAGCGUUAAUCGGAAUUACUGGGCGUAAAGGGCGCGUAGGCGGCCUGCUAAGUGUGCGGUGAAAGCCUGGGGCUCAACCCCAGGUCUGCCGUGCAAACUGGUGGGCUUGAGCACUGUAGAGGCAGGGGGAAUUCCGGGUGUAGCGGUGGAAUGCGUAGAGAUCCGGAAGAACACCGGUGGCGAAGGCGGCCUGCUGGGCAGUAGCUGACGCUGAGGCGCGACAGCGUGGGGAGCAAACAGG